rnacentral:lncRNA from 1 species
GCCGACCCUCCAAUAUAGUUCUAAUUUUUCUUCAAAUUUAUAGAAUUCUUUGGUUAGGAACUGUAACAGUGUUAAUGAUGUUUCCUAGUAACCAAUUAGGAAUUUGUGUAUUUGGUUUUCAAGUUUACUCUUCAAAGUAUAUGUUUCACAAUUUUAGUGGCGAGAUAACUUGGUAUGAGGAUAGUUUUUAUUCUCUUUUAUUGUUAUUUAGACUUACGCUGCAAUUUACUAGUUCUGAGUUUUUCCUGAGAAAAUUGAAGCUCAAUUCCGUUGAUUUUGAAUUUAGUUAGUGCAUAUACUGGCUACUAUCAUGAUCUAUGCUUUUAUUUGAACUUGCAUUAGUUAGUUGCAUAUUUUGAUCUGAAUACAGAAUGUAGAAAGCUAGGUGAAGUAGUCUAAAGCAAAGGGUCUGAGGUUAUGGUUGGUAUAAUGUCAUUAACAUGCUCUGAUUUCAUUACUUUAUAAAUGUGAUUGGAUUGGAUGAGUUAAUGAAUGUUAUUGUGAAUUUGAGAUUCACCUCUCAGUUUUAGAUUUAUUAUAAUUCAAUUGUUAUACGUUUGUCAUUGUCGUGACUCUUUCUAUGAUAUAACAGAAAUCAGGGCCUGAAACCUAUCUUUUUGCUCUUGUCCUGUGAAUUUCUCUUUUUUGAUCAUUGUAUGACUGCGGAUAUUAAGCAUGAUUGUUUUUGGGUUUUAAAACUGAUUUGUAAAUUGAUGAAUGAUUGCUUGACAUAUAGAAUUAUAACUCAUUAACUGUUCUGACUUCAAAUUUGAACCAUAUAUAUCUCUUGAUUUUCAGCAUUUGCCGAGAUAUUUUCAUAUUAUAAUUAGUAGCUCCUGAUGGGUGGAAAUGAUUUAAAUUCAAUUUUCGAAAUAAACCAGAGCUUAUCUUGGAUGUUGUUUUUAGUUUUAACUUCUUACAAUAUAUCACUUUUUAUUAGCCAAAUCCCAGCAAUAUUUUCCAAGUGAUGGCUUAUUCCAAACACCACUCUUCCUCAUACCUAAUCCUCCUGUUGAUUUCCUUUGACAGGCUGAGUCCCAAGCCACAAGUGCAUGAUAGUGGCCACUAUCAUUUCCCCCC